rnacentral:rRNA from 1 species
CCAGACUCCUACGGGAGGCAGCAGUAGGGAAUCUUUCACAAUGGGCGAAAGCCUGAUGGAGCAACGCCGCGUGAUCGAAUGAAGGCCUUCGGGUUGUAAAGAUCUGUUGACAGGGACGAAUAAGCAAUGCGAAUAGUUUUGUGUAUGACGGUACCUGUUUAGAAAGCUCCGGCUAACUACGUGCCAGCAGCCGCGGUAAUACGUAGGUGGCAAGCGUUGUCCGGAUUUACUGGGUGUAAAGGGCGUGUAGCCGGGCUGACAAGUCAGAUGUGAAAUCCGGGGGCUCAACCCCCGAACUGCAUUUGAAACUGUUGGUCUUGAGUAUCGGAGAGGCAGGCGGAAUUCCUAGUGUAGCGGUGAAAUGCGUAGAUAUCAGGAGGAACACCGGUGGCGAAGGCGGCCUGCUGGACUGCGACUGACGUUGAGGCCCGAAAGCGUGGGGAGCAAACAGGAUUAGAUACCCGGGUA